UACGGGGGGGGCAAGCGUUGUUCGGAAUUACUGGGCGUAAAGCGCGCGUAGGCGGACCUGCAAGUCGGGGGUGAAAGCCCGAGGCUCAACCUCGGAACUGCCUUCGAUACUGCGGGUCUCGAGUCCGGGAGAGGUGAGUGGAAUUCCUAGUGUAGAGGUGAAAUUCGUAGAUAUUAGGAAGAACACCAGUGGCGAAGGCGGCUCACUGGCCCGGUACUGACGCUGAGGUGCGAAAGCGUGGGGAGCAAACAGG
rnacentral:rRNA from 1 species